GACGAACGCUGGCGGCGUGCUUAACACAUGCAAGUCGAACGGAAAGGCCCUGCUUUUGUGGGGUGCUCGAGUGGCGAACGGGUGAGUAACACGUGAGUAACCUGCCCUUGACUUUGGGAUAACUUCAGGAAACUGGGUCUAAUACCGGAUAGGAGCUCCUGCUGCAUGGUGGGGGUUGGAAAGUUUCGGCGGUUGGGGAUGGACUCGCGGCUUAUCAGCUUGUUGGUGGGGUCGUGGCUUACCAAGGCUUUGACGGGUAGCCGGCCUGAGAGGGUGACCGGCCACAUUGGGACUGAGAUACGGCCCAGACUCCUACGGGAGGCAGCAGUGGGGAAUAUUGCACAAUGGGCGGAAGCCUGAUGCAGCAACGCCGCGUGCGGGAUGACGGCCUUCGGGUUGUAAACCGCUUUCGCCUGUGACGAAGCGUGAGUGACGGUAAUGGGUAAAGAAGCACCGGCUAACUACGUG
rnacentral:rRNA from 1 species